rnacentral:rRNA from 1 species
UGGGGAAUUUUGGACAAUGGGCGCAAGCCUGAUCCAGCCAUGCCGCGUGCGGGAAGAAGGCCUUCGGGUUGUAAACCGCUUUUGUCAGGGAAGAAAUCUUCUGAGUUAAUACCUCGGGGAGGAUGACGGUACCUGAAGAAUAAGCACCGGCUAACUACGUGCCAGCAGCCGCGGUAAUACGUAGGGUGCAAGCGUUAAUCGGAAUUACUGGGCGUAAAAGCGUGCGCAGGCGGUUUUGUAAGACAGAGGUGAAAUCCCCGGGCUCAACCUGGGAACUGCCUUUGUGACUGCAAGGCUUGAGUGCGGCAGAGGGGGGAUGGAAUUCCGCGUGUAGCAGUGAAAUGCGUAGAUAUGCGGAGGAACACCGAUGGCGAAGGCAAUCCCCUAGGCCUGCACUGACGCUCAUGCACGAAAGCGUGGGGAGCAAACAGGAUUAGAUAGCCCUGGUAGUCCACGCCCUAAAACGAUGUCAACUGG